rnacentral:tRNA from 1 species
GAUUGGAUGGCUGAUUUAAGGCGGUUGAUUGUAAAUCAUCUUAUAGAUAUUAAUUCUUUCAAUCA